AGAGUUUGAUCCUGGCUCAGGACGAACGCUGGCGGCGCGCUUUAUGCAUGCAAGUCGAACGGACCUUCGGGUCAGUGGCGGACGGCUGAGUAACGCGUAGGCAAUCUGCCCAGUGGUGGGGGAUAACUCGCCGAAAGGUGAGCUAAUACCGCAUAAGUUCAGUGGUUGAAAUACCACUGAGGAAAGCAGCAAUGCACCACUGGAGGAGCCUGCGUCCUAUCAGGUAGUUGGUGGGGUAACGGCCUACCAAGCCGAUGACGGGUAGCUGGUCUGAGAGGACGACCAGCCAGAAGGGGACUGAGACACGGCCCCUACUCCUACGGGGAGGCAGCAGCAAGGAAUCUUGGGCAAUGGACGAAAGUCUGACCCAGCGACGCCCCGUGAGGGAUGAAGGGCCUUCGGGUCGUAAACCUCUUUUGCGGGGGAAGAAGAUCUGACGGGUACCCCGCGAAUAAGCCACGGGUAACUACGUGGCCAGCAGCCGCGGGUAAUACGUGGGGUGGCAAGCGUUGUCCGGAUUUACUGGGGCGUAAAGGGGCUUGUAGGGCGGUUUGUUAAGUCUGGGUGGUGAAAUCUCCCCGGGCUCAACCGGGGAGGGGGUCAUUCGGAUACUGUGCAGACUUUGAGGACGGGGUAGAGGAAAAGCAGAAAUUCCCUGGUGUAGCCGGGUGAAAUGCGUUGAAUAUCGGGGAGGGAAAUACCCACUGGCGAAAGCGGCUUUCUUGGGGGCUGGUUCUGACGCUGAGGAGCGAAACGGGUGGGGGACCAACCGUAUAGAUACCCGGUUAGUCCACGCCUAACCGGUGAUGCUAGGGUGUGGGUGGGUGUCGACCCCUCCAGUGGCGCAGCUAACGCUUGAGCAUCCGCUUGGGGAGUACCGGCCGCAAGGCUAAAACUCAAAAGGAAUUCGACGGGGGCCCGCACAAGCGGCGGAGCGUGUGGUUUUAUUUCGAUGCAACGCGAAGACCUUACCCACGGCUUGACAUGCUAGUAGUAGGGAGUCGAAAGACAAAGGACCCUUUGGGGGAGUUAGCACAGGUGCUGCAUGCCUGUCGUCAGCUCGUGCCGUGAGGUGUUGGGUUAAGUCCGCAACGAGCGCAACCCCCCUUCGUUAGUUAAAUCUUUCUAACGAGACCGCUGGGAUAAACCCAGAGGAAGGUGGGGAUGACGUCAAGUCAGCAUGGCCCUUACGUCUUGGGCCUACACACACGCUACAAUGGCCGGUACAAUGGGCUGCCAAGGCGCGAGCCGGAGCUAAUCCCCUCAAAACCGGCCCCAGUUCAGAUUGCAGGCUGCAACUCGCCUGCAUGAAGGCGGAGUCGCUAGUAACCGCAGGUCAGCUACACUGCGGUGAAUACGUUCCCGGGCCUUGUACACACCGCCCGUCACGUCAUGGAAGCCGGCAGCACCUGAAGCCGCUGAGCCAACGCGCAAGCGAGGCAUGCGUCUAGGGUGAGGUUGGUAACUGGGACGAAGUCGUAACAAGGUAACC
rnacentral:rRNA from 1 species